UACAGAGGUCUCAAGCGUUGUUCGGAUUCAUUGGGCGUAAAGGGUGUGUAGGUGGCGCGCUAAGUCGGGUGUGAAAUUUCGGAGCUUAACUCCGAAACUGCAUUCGAUACUGGCGUGCUUGAGGACUGGAGAGGAGACUGGGAAUUCCUGGUGUAGCGGUGAAAUGCGCAGAUAUCAGGAGGAACACCGGUGGCGAAGGCGGGUCUCUGGGCCGAUACUGACGCUGGAGGAGCGAAAGCGUGGGGAGCGAACAGG
rnacentral:rRNA from 1 species